rnacentral:rRNA from 1 species
UACGUAGGUGGCGAGCGUUGUUCGGAUUUAUUGGGCGUAAAGGGUCUGUAGGAGGUUUGUUAAAUGCGGGGUGAAAUCCGGGAGCUCAACUCCCGAACUGCCUUGUAGACUGGCAGACUUGAGUACUGGAGAGGUAAGCGGAAUACCAAGUGUAGCGGUGGAAUGCGUAGAUAUUUGGUAGAACACCAAGAGCGAAGGCAGCUUGCUGGACAGAUACUGACUCUGAAAGACGAAAGCGUGGGUAGCAAAC